rnacentral:rRNA from 1 species
ACGAACGCUGGCGGCGUGCUUAACACAUGCAAGUCGCACGGAAAGGCCCUGCUUUUGUGGGGUGCUCGAGUGGCGAACGGGUGAGUAACACGUGAGUAACCUGCCCUUGACUUUGGGAUAACUUCAGGAAACUGGGGCUAAUACCGGAUAGGAGCUCCUGCUGCAUGGUGGGGGUUGGAAAGUUUCGGCGGUUGGGGAUGGACUCGCGGCUUAUCAGCUUGUUGGUGGGGUAGUGGCUUACCAAGGCUUUGACGGGUAGCCGGCCUGAGAGGGUGACCGGCCACAUUGGGACUGAGAUACGGCCCAGACUCCUACGGGAGGCAGCAGCGGGGAAUAUUGCACAAUGGGCGGAAGCCUGAUGCAGCAACGCCGCGUGCGGGAUGACGGCCUUCGGGUUGUAAACCGCUUUCGCCUGUGACGAAGCGUGAGUGACGGUAAUGGGUAAAGAAGCACCGGCUAACUACGUG